rnacentral:rRNA from 1 species
UACGGAGGGUGCAAGCAUUAUCCGGAUUCACUGGGUUUAAAGGGUGCGUAGGAGGGCAGGUAAGUCAGUGGUGAAAUCUUCGAGCUUAACUCGGAAACUGCCGUUGAUACUAUCUGUCUUGAAUACCGUGGAGAUGAGCGGAAUAUGUCAUGUAGCGGUGAAAUGCUUAGAUAUGACAUAGAACACCAAUUGCGAAGGCAGCUCGUUACACGAAUAUUGACUCUGAGGCACGAAAGCGUGGGGAUCAAACAGG